rnacentral:rRNA from 1 species
UUUCUAGCUUGCUAGAAGAUGACGAGUGGCGGACGGGUGAGUAAUGCUUGGGAACUUGCCUUUGCGAGGGGGAUAACAGUUGGAAACGACUGCUAAUACCGCAUAAUGUCUACGGACCAAACGGGGCUUAGGCUCCGGCGCAAAGAGAGGCCCAAGUGAGAUUAGCUAGUUGGUGGGGUAAAGGCUCACCAAGGCAACGAUCUCUAGCUGUUCUGAGAGGAAGAUCAGCCACACUGGAACUGAGACACGGUCCAGACUCCUACGGGAGGCAGCAGUGGGGAAUAUUGCACAAUGGGGGAAACCCUGAUGCAGCCAUGCCGCGUGUGUGAAGAAGGCCUUCGGGUUGUAAAGCACUUUCAGUUGUGAGGAAAAGUUAGUAGUUAAUACCUGCUAGCCCUGACGUUAGCAACAGAAGAAGCACCGGCUAACUCCGUGCCAGCAGCCGCGGUAAUACGGAGGGUGCGAGCGUUAAUCGGAAUUACUGGGCGUAAAGCGCACGCAGGCGGUUUGUUAAGCUAGAUGUGAAAGCCCCGGGCUCAACCUGGGACGGUCAUUUAGAACUGGCAGACUAGAGUCUUGGAGAGGGGAGUGGAAUUCCAGGUGUAGCGGUGAAAUGCGUAGAUAUCUGGAGGAACAUCAGUGGCGAAGGCGACUCCCUGGCCAAAGACUGACGCUCAUGUGCGAAAGUGUGGGUAGCGAACAGGAUUAGAUACCCUGGUAGUCCACACCGUAAACGCUGUCUACUAGCUGUUUGUGGCUUUAAGCCGUGAGUAGCGAAGCUAACGCGAUAAGUAGACCGCCUGGGGAGUACGGCCGCAAGGUUAAAACUCAAAUGAAUUGACGGGGGCCCGCACAAGCGGUGGAGCAUGUGGUUUAAUUCGAUGCAACGCGAAGAACCUUACCUACACUUGACAUGCAGAGAACUUUCUAGAGAUAGAUUGGUGCCUUCGGGAACUCUGACACAGGUGCUGCAUGGCUGUCGUCAGCUCGUGUCGUGAGAUGUUGGGUUAAGUCCCGCAACGAGCGCAACCCUUGUCCUUAGUUGCCAGCAUUCAGUUGGGCACUCU